UGAAGACGACGACGUUGAUAGGCCGGGUGUGUAAGCGCAGCGAUGCGUUGAGCUAACCGGUACUAAUGAACCGUGAGGCUUAACCUU
rnacentral:rRNA from 19 species